rnacentral:snRNA from 1 species
GUCCAGCUUAACGCUAGACAUAUACUAAAAUUGGAACGAUACACAGAAGAUUAGCAUGGCCCCUGCGCAAGGAUGACAAAAAAAUAAUUUCAGGAAAAAUAUCUUAAU